rnacentral:rRNA from 1 species
GGAGGAGCUUGCGUCACAUUAGUUAGUUGGUGGGGUAAAGGCCUACCAAGACUAUGAUGUGUAGCCGGGCUGAGAGGUUGAACGGCCACAUUGGGACUGAGACACGGCCCAAACUCCUACGGGAGGCAGCAGUAGGGAAUUUUCGGCAAUGGAGGAAACUCUGACCGAGCAACGCCGCGUGAACGAUGAAGUAUUUCGGUACGUAAAGUUCUUUUAUUAGGGAAGAAUAAAUGAUGGAAAAAUCAUUCUGACGGUACCUAAUGAAUAAGCCCCGGCUAACUAUGUGCCAGCAGCCGCGGUAAUACAUAGGGGGCAAGCGUUAUCCGGAAUUAUUGGGCGUAAAGGGUGCGUAGGCGGUUAAAUAAGUUUAUGGUCUAAGUGCAAUGCUCAACAUUGUGAUGCUAUAAAAACUGUUUAGCUAGAGUAAGAUAGAGGCAAGUGGAAUUCCAUGUGUAGUGGUAAAAUGCGUAAAUAUAUGGAGGAACACCAGUAGCGAAGGCGGCUUGCUGGGUCUUUACUGACGCUGAGGCACGAAAGCGUGGGGAGCAAACAGGAUUAGAUACCCUGGUAGUCCACGCCGUAAACGAUGAGUACUAAACGUUGGGUAAAACCAGUGUUGAAGUUAACACAUUAAGUACUCCGCCUGAGUAGUACGUACGCAAGUAUGAAACUUAAAGGAAUUGACGGGACUCCGCACAAGCGGUGGAUCAUGUUGUUUAAUUCGAAGGUACCCGAAAAACCUCACCAGGUCUUGACAUGCUUCUGCAAAACUGUAGAAACACAGUGGAGGUUAUCAGUUGCACAGGUGGUGCAUGGUUGUCGUCAGCUCGUGUCGUGAGAUGUUGGGUUAAGUCCCGCAACGAGCGCAACCCUUAUUGUUAGUUACCAGCACGUAAUGGUGGGGACUUUAGCAAGACUGCCGGUGAUAAU